GUGUGUUUAUGUGGACACAGAGGUACUUAUGCUGAAGGUUGAGGCUCUUUCAAUGUCUGUUCCAUGGAUGUUCAGUACAGGUGAAGUUCUCUGUACUCCUGGCCGUCUCCAUCAGUGAGGAGGCCUACAAUGGCAGAGUCAGAGGAGAAUUUCUUCACGUGACAGUCAACUGAGAGUGCUGGUGGGCAAGAGCUUCCAUAUUGCACCUGUGGGCUCAGUUCCCGUGGAAAGAAGGUGCUGGAUUAUUACAUCAGCUUGCUUCUCACUACUUUUGCCAUGAGUUAUUUCAUCCGUCCGUUUCUUUCCAGCGUCCUUGUUUUCAGUCCGCAACUUCUCAUAGUACCGCCGUGUUUUUGUUUUGUUUUGUUUUCUUUAUUUUGUGUAAGUUAGAACCAGUCCAGUGUUUUUUAUGUCAUUCCGUUUGUAGGUAGGAGUAGAAUUUGCUUUCUCUUUUUUUUGUGUGCUUCCUCUUCCUACUGUAGGUCUUUAGAACCAGUUUUUUGUAUUAUUAUUAUUAUUUUUAUUUUUUUAUUUUUUUUAAUUUUUUUAGAGAGGUACCUCCUUUGCUCUGUGGUUCCGUCCAUGUCCCUUCAUUGUUUUGAGUUGUUGUGUCUGCUUUGGGAUCCACAU